GAGAAUGUAGGAAUCCUUCCGAUUACUGGCAUCGGAGGAUUAGGAAAGACCACAUUAGCUCAAUUCAUAUUUAAUGAUCUGAAAGUAGAUAAACAUUUUCAGGUAAAAAUGUGGGUGUGCGUCUCUGAUACUUUUGAUGUUAGAAAAGUUGUUGAAAAAAUCCUAGAAUCGGCAAUAAAACAAAAACCAAACAUUACUGUUCAAAUGGAUACAUUGGUGCAUGGUCUUCGAAAAGAAAUUGUUGGAAAGAAAUACUUACUUGUGUUGGAUGAUGUUUGGAACGAGGAAAGUGAGAAAUGGGAUAAAUUGAAAAAUUUGUUGAUGGGUGGUGCAAGUGGCAGUAGAAUAUUAAUAACUACACGAAGUCCAAAAGUUGCACAAAUUACCCAAACAAUUGGACCAUAUUUUUUACAGGGUUUAGACAGUCAGAAGUCAUGGUGUUUAUUUAAGAAAGUGGCAUUUGAGAAUGGAGAAGAGCCAGUGAAUUCUGGAAAAAUGGAAGUUGGAAUGGAUAUUGUAGAAAAGUGUUCAGGUGUCCCUCUUGUCAUCAAAACAAUUGGAAGGUUACUGUCCGUGGAAAAUUCUGAAGCAGAGUGGGUUUCUUUUAACAACAAUAAACUGCAAAAAAUAAAAGAAGAUAAAAUCAUACCAACUCUUAAGCUGAGUUAUGAUCAACUUCCAUCACAUUUGAAACAAUGCUUUGCUUAUUGUAGUAUAUUUCCGAAGGAUUAUGUGAUGAAGAAAUCAAAAUUGAUAAAUCUAUGGAUAGCACAGGGGUUUAUCAAGCUAUCCAAUCAAAAUGAAUGUCUUGAAGAUGUUGGUCAUGAUUAUUUCAUGGAUUUACUUUGGAGAUCCUUCUUUCAAGAAGCUGAAAUGGAUGAUUUGGGAAACGUGGUUACGAGUAAAAUGCAUGACCUCAUGCAUGAUCUCGCAAUAUCAGUGGCAGGAUCAUUGAUCACCAAAUUAGAAUCCAAGGAAAAAAUUAUUUGUGAUCAGAAAACUCGGCACGUAUCAGUUAUCAACAAUAUAGAAUUUUCCUUUGUAAUUCCAACUUUGUCAUCAAAAGCCAGUAGGACUCGAACACUUCUUUCGCUUGGUGAAUUGAAGGAUUUGCAAGAGUCAAGCACUUCAUGUGAAGCAAUCUUUUCAAGUUUGAAGUAUUUGCGAGUGUUGGAUUUACAUGGAAGACAGCUUGAUUUAGUACCGAGUUCUUUAUGUAAGUUGAAGCAUUUAAGAGAUCUUGAUCUUUCUAGGAAUCAAAAAAUUGAGAAGCUGCCCGAUUCCAUAACUAGGUUGCAAAAUUUGUAUACACUAAGACUCUCUGGUUGCAGAGGGAUUAAAGAAUUGCCUAGAGGAAUUACGAAAUUAGUCAACCUCAGACAUCUUUACAAUGAUGGAUGUUGGGGUUUGACUUAUAUGCCACGUGGAUUGGGGCAAUUGACAAAUCUCCAGACAUUAUCUAAGUUUGUUGUCCACUCUGAUUCGGCCCCAAAGGACAGUGGCCGGUUAAGCGAGCUAAAUAGACUAAAUAGCUUAAGAGGAGAAUUAGAGAUUUCGGGUUUGAGAAGUCGGGAGGAAGACGUCGCAUUAGACUAUAAGGGUGCAAAUCUAAAAGAGAAAGAACAUCUUCAGGUUUUGACUUUACGUUGGGGAAGAGGAAAUGUUAAUGCAGAUGAUGAAAUGGCAUUGGAUGGCUUUGAACCUCACCCAAAUCUUAAAAAGCUGAACAUAUAUGAAUAUGGGGGUGUGAGGGUUCCGAUGUGGCUUUUGUCACUCACAAAUCUGGUUCACUUGAGUUUACAUGGUUGUAGUAAAUUGAAAUAUUUGCCACCAUUGGUGGAGGAGGAGUGAUUCUUAUAAUGUGGAUGUCAAUACGACGGGGAAUGCUUUACUAUUCCCUUGUCUUUCAAAUUUAAGAGCUUAAAGCCUCAUCUCUUUGGAGUUUGUCAGUAUUCCGAAAUUGGUGUCUCUCCCAUUGGGGCUUCAACAUGUUACCACUCUAUGACAGCUCUGAAUCUCAAAUUGUUCAAGCUCAAUGACUAUACUAGAGUGGAUCUGCAAUUGGGCAUCACUUGAGUGGUUCACAAUUUCUAGAUGCUCUAGUUUAACAUCACUGCCUGAAGCAAUGAGUAGGCUAAUCUCUUUGAAAAUUUUGACAAUUCAUGAUUGUCCCAUCUUAUUACAAAGAUGCAAACAAGAUGGAGGUGAGGAUUGGCGCAAGAUUGCUCACAUCCCAGAGCGGGACUUAUCAAAUAAGAAAUAGCACUAUAUGCAUGAUUCUUCACAUCCAGAAGAAUGGUAAGGAGGAGGAAGAAGAGCAAAGGAAAGAAAUAAUAUAGGAGCUCGCAAGAUUGCUCACAUCCCAGAACUGGACUUUUAUCCUACACCUCCAUACGUCAUCCUUGACUGAUCCAGAAACGACAUUGAGUAAAGAAGAAACAGGGGAGAGGGAUUGAGAGUUUGUUAAAAAAUUUAAUGCACUGCGACUUCUACAAGAUAAUAGCAAGGAGGCGAAAGAAGAGCAAAGUGAAGAAAUAUAGGAGGGUGUUGUGGAGGAGAUCCAGGAUUGGAAUCCAGAGGCCGCAAUGUUGAGGCUGUGUAAUUUCACGACAACAAUUUCAAUAGGGCCUACAUGUUUCUUAGCCUAGAAAGUGAUGGGAUGAUUUUGUUUGCAUCUUGGAGCACAUGUAUAUGAAGUUGAUCAUAGCUACAUGAUGGAUGAUGCGACCAAUUGCUUUGAACUCCUUUAUUUGUGUAUGCUCUCCAAGAACAUUUUCUACCAUCAAUGAUCUUGCAAUUGGCUUUUGCACAGAAAAUGAUAUUGGGCGACAAAAUAUUUUGGUUUUCGUUAGAUGGAAGACACCUCUCGGCAAUUGCCUACCCAGGUUUUGGCCAAAGUCAUUGGUACCCGACAUUUGCAAAUUUUAUCCAAAGUAAAAAUCCAUCCAAGGCGUACGGAAGUUGAUGAACAUGAGAGAGAAACAGAGAAAGCAUAUGCUCCAAGACUUUCCAGGCAUCAGCUUACUUGGUUUGCUUUCUUAAAACAUGGAAGAAACAAAUUCUAAAAACUCAUCAAGAAAAAGAAUGUCCUCUGAGAUAUCAGCAAAUCUCCUUGGAAUUGUGGUCGAAAGGCGUCAUUUGAAGAAGGAUUGUCGCUUUUAGGCAUUGUGGUCCAUGUUAUAAUCAUGAGGUUGAUGGAGGAGCUGUUUAAACUUGAUGGAGAGAUUGUAUAAUUCCAAUCCCAGACUGAACAAAUUUAUUGAAAGAUAUUCCUUGACGUCUGCAAUACCAAUCCCAGGAGAUUGUAUAAACAUCCACUUGCUAAGCCACUACCAUUUGUUGCAUAUGGAAUUCUUCUUAUGAUUACAAUUUGUAUUUGAUUAGAACGUGUAAUUUUCUACCGCUCUGUCUGUUCAAGGACAGUAGCAUUAUGAUUAGAAUAAGAAAUAAUAAUCUUCGAUA